AUACGUAGGGGGUGAGCGUUGUCCGGAAUGAUUGGGCGUAAAGGGCGCGUAGGCGGCCCGGUAAGUCUGGAGUGAAAGUCCUGUUUUUAAGAUGGGAAUUGCUUUGGAUACUGUCGGGCUUGAGUGCAGGAGAGGUAAGUGGAAUUCCCAGUGUAGCGGUGAAAUGCGUAGAGAUUGGGAGGAACACCAGUGGCGAAGGCGACUUACUGGACUGUAACUGACGCUGAGGCGCGAAAGUGUGGGGAGCAAACAGGAUUAGAUACCCUGGUAGUCCACACUGUAAACGAUGAAUGCUAGGUGUAGGGGGUAUCGACCCCUUCUGUGCCGCAGUCAACACAAUAAGCAUUCCGCCUGGGGAGUACGGCCGCAAGGUUGAAACUCAAAUGAAUUGACGGGG
rnacentral:rRNA from 1 species